AGCAUAUCAAUAAGCGGAGGAAAAGAAACCAACAGGGAUUGCCCUAGUAACGGCGAGUGAAGCGGCAAAAGCUCAAAUUUGAAAUCUGGCACCUCUGGUGUCCGAGUUGUAAUUUGGAGAGGCAUCUUCCGGAGGGGUCCAGCCUAUGUUCCUUGGAACAGGACAUCACAGAGGGUGAGAAUCCCGUUCAUGGCUGGAGAUACCCUUCAGUAGGUAGUGCUUUCUACGAGUCGAGUUGUUUGGGAAUGCAGCUCAAAAUGGGUGGUAAAUUUCAUCUAAAGCUAAAUAUAGGCGAGAGACCGAUAGCGCACAAGUAGAGUGAUCGAAAGAUGAAAAGCACUUUGAAAAUAGAGUCAAACAGUACGUGAAAUUGUUGAAAGGGAAGCGCUUGAGACCAGACUCAGCCUUGGGCAAACAGCCUUCCUUCUGGGUGGUGCACUUGCCCUUGGCUGGGCCAGCAUCAGUCAGGACGGUGGAAUAAAGACCUGAGGAAUGUGACUCCGCUCAGGAGUGUUAUAGCCUCGGGUGUCAUCCUGCCUGCCCUGACUGUGGACCGCGCUUCGGCUAGGAUGCUGGCAUAAUGGUCUUUAGCGGCCCGUCU
rnacentral:rRNA from 1 species